rnacentral:rRNA from 1 species
GGGGCCUCGUGGCCAACCUCCCACCCUUGUCUCUAUACACCUGUUGCUUUGGCGGGCCCACCGGGGCCACCUGGUCGCCGGGGGACAUCUGUCCCCGGGCCCGCGCCCGCCGAAGCGCUCUGUGAACCCUGAUGAAGAUGGGCUGUCUGAGUACUAUGAAAAUUGUCAAAACUUUCAACAAUGGAUCUCUUGGUUCCGGCAUCGAUGAAGAACGCAGCGAAAUGCGAUAAGUAAUGUGAAUUGCAGAAUUCCGUGAAUCAUCGAAUCUUUGAACGCACAUUGCGCCCCCUGGCAUUCCGGGGGGCAUGCCUGUCCGAGCGUCAUUUCUGCCCUCAAGCACGGCUUGUGUGUUGGGUGCGGUCCCCCCGGGGACCUGCCCGAAAGGCAGCGGCGACGUCCGUCUGGUCCUCGAGCGUAUGGGGCUUUGUCACUCGCUCGGGAAGGACUGGCGGGGGUUGGUCACCACCAAAAUUUUACCACGGUUGACCUCGGAUCAGGUAGGAGUUACCCGCUGAACUUAAGCAUAUCAAUAAGCGGAGGAA